rnacentral:lncRNA from 1 species
UCUUGUACACUUCGACUUUUUAGCAAAAUUUUUUUGUGCAUGCCAACAAAAAUACAAGGAUCAUGUCUACCAAGUUUGGGUCCAAAACACUUUCCCAAAAAAUUUUAAAAAAUCCCGAACCGCAAAAAGUUUCGAAAAUCGUGAAAAAUAGAAAACAAGUCAUCUUGCCAUGAAACAUCACGUGAAGGCUUAAGGGACCAUUGUAUGAAUUUACAAGCCAUAAAAAAGGAAUUGGCACAUAGAA